rnacentral:rRNA from 1 species
GCGUGGGCAACCUGCCCUCUAGAUGGGGACAACAUCCCGAAAGGGGUGCUAAUACCGAAUGUGACAGCAAUCUCGCAUGAGGAUGCUGUGAAAGAUGGCCUCUAUUUACAAGCUAUCGCUAGAGGAUGGGCCUGCGUCUGAUUAGCUAGUUGGUGGGGUAACGGCCUACCAAGGCGAUGAUCAGUAGCCGGUCUGAGAGGAUGAACGGCCACAUUGGGACUGAGACACGGCCCAGACUCCUACGGGAGGCAGCAGUGGGGAAUCUUCCGCAAUGGGCGAAAGCCUGACGGAGCAAUGCCGCGUGAGUGAUGAAGGAAUUCGUUCCGUAAAGCUCUUUUGUUUAUGACGAAUGCGCAGAUUGUGAAUAAUGAUUUGUAAUGACGGUAGUAAACGAAUAA